GAGACACCCUUCUGGGGCAAGACUUGCUUCAGUGGGGCUUUGGUGCUCACUGAGUCUGCCCCCUGAGUGUGACCCU
rnacentral:pre_miRNA from 1 species